GGCUGGCUUGCCCUUUCGUGCUCCCCAUUCGUCCCCUCCUCUCUUGUCUUCUCCGCUCGCCGCCGACUCGCGUCCCCUUCGAUUUGCCGUCGUUCUCAGGACGGAGACCUAGCCGCCGCCUCCUCCCGCACUCGCUCGUCCCUCCUCCUCCUCUACGUCUCCUCCACCCAAUCCCUAACCCACGCCGCCGCCGUCUCCUUCACCAGCCCACCGGAAGCCCGCCGUCCACUUCCCCGGCGUCGUCGCCGUGUCCUCGCGUGCACACGGCAGGAGGAGCGCCCCCACCCUCUCCUCUCCUCCUCCCCUUAUCAAGAGCCAGGACAAGGAGGGCCACCGUGGCCGAGCAGGUCAGGUGUUGCGUCCAGAUCGCCAAGGAGCCGCCUGCAAGGUCGGCCAUGGCGUGACUGAGCAGAGCAGCCUCAGCAUGGUCCGGUUGCUGCGGAUUGGUGAGCUAUAGAAGGUACCUCGUGUGGCCUGGUUGAGGUACCAUGCUUGUUGUGGAUUGCAGCCUCAUGUGUGCGUGGAGCACAUCUUGGGUGUUCAGGGUUUAGGCAACCCCAACAACUCUGGCUCCAUCGUCCCUGAGCUCAGCCGUCUUGUGAAUCUUUAGUACCUGGAGCUGUACAGGAACAACCUCAAUGGCGAGAUCCCAAAAGAAUUGGGCAAACUGAAGAAAUUAAUCGGUUUGGAUUUGUAUGCCGAUAAUCACUGGAAGAAUCCCCAAGUCACUUUCCAAGCUCAGCUCACUGAUAUUGAUGAAUAUAUGUUUAUUGUAGCAGGUAAAUCCUUCUAUUUUUAGGAGAAGGAAAGCUAACUACUUUGAAGCUGGGCAGAAGCAAUAUCAUGGUGGCACACUUGGUGUGCCCAUGCCAUCAGUCUCAAGCAUUGGGUGUAGAAGUUCUCCGCCAACCUGAAGUGUGUGUGCAUGCUGAUCGGUCUCAAGCGUUGGCUGUAGAAGUUCUCUGCCAAUCCGUCCAUACAUGCCACAGAUUACUUCAAUCUGAAGGCGUCAUGAUUGUCAUUUGGUCAGUGCUUGAUGUGCUUCUGUGCUGGAUCAAGUCCAAUUAGCUACUGCUAAUUAUUGCACCCUUUGUGGAGGAGGACAACGACCAGGGCAUCCAUGGUCGAGAGCUCGGCUCCUUGGCGCUUCACAAAAAAUACUUGCGUCGGUUGGGACCAAAGUUUCAGAUCGCGGGCGAAAACAGCGCGAUCGCGGCGCGAUCGCGUGCUGGAACCCUUCCCGCGACGCAAUCCCAUAAAAAACGCGAUCUGCCGCUAACCGCGCGAUCACGCGUGAAACGACGCUAUUUGACUUCGCUAUCGCUGCAAAAUCGCGGGCAUGGGCCGAAAGACUGAAACACAAGGGCCCAAAUGCCCCAAACAGAUCAGAACGGCCCAAAUUCGCGAUGUGCCGACUGUUGCUUCGUUGGAAGCCAGAUUCGGUUGCGGGGGAGGUGGAAAGGCGACCGGCGACGAGGGGCCUCUGCACGACGUCGCCUCUACGACCACGAUGACAUCUCAGUCUCAGUCUCAAACGGUUCCAGCAGCCGGGGCAAGCACAUCGCCAGGAGGUUCACACAAAGAGACGCAGCAGGCUGGUGCAUGACAAGAUGAGUGACCUUGUUUUCAUCAAGUUCAACUCCAAACUGAAGGACAAGAAACUAAACAAACUCAAGGACCCCAUUGAGAAGCAGGUGGUAGAUGUUUUAGAAGAUGAUGAGAAUGAAUGGAUCACUGGUGUGGUGCCUAAUGGUGAUGAAGAACAAGUUGAAGGUGAAGAUCAAGAUCAAGAAAUUCCAUAUGCAAGCUCGCAUGCUGGACCAGGAACUUCUGCUAUUAAUCCCCUUAAAAGGAAGAGGGGUGUCUAUGGUAAGAAGAAGAAGAUGAUGAUCCCUGUUACUCCUCAAGAAGAUCUGCUCUCUGCUUCCUCUGCUUCAGAAAGUGACGACGACGAGGACACCAACAUGAGUUCUGGUUCUGACAUGUGAGCUUGUCGGUUUCUUUAUGAAGUUCGUUUUGGCGCUCAUGAUUCUAUCCUUUCCUGUGUGCUUUUGACAAAUGAAUUCUGAAGACUUUGUGAUGCAUGUAAUGGACUAUGGACAUGCUGCUGUUGUUACUUAACUUCUGCCGAACUGCUGAUGUUAUGCUUGAUGCAGUCUUGAAUUUAUGUUUUUAUUUA